GAUGCGGUCCAUACCAGGGCUACUACACCGGAUCCCAUCAGAGCUCUGCUGUUAAACGCCCUUGGGCUGGGAUAGUUGACCUCCCGGUUCUUCUCUUGAUAAUAAUCAAGAGAAUCU
rnacentral:rRNA from 1 species